UGGGGAAUAUUGCACAAUGGGCGCAAGCCUGAUGCAGCCAUGCCGCGUGUGUGAAGAAGGCCUUCGGGUUGUAAAGCACUUUCAGCGGGGAGGAAGGCGUUAAGGUUAAUAACCUUGGCGAUUGACGUUACCCACAGAAGAAGCACCGGCUAACUCCGUGCCAGCAGCCGCGGUAAUACGGAGGGUGCAAGCGUUAAUCGGAAUUACUGGGCGUAAAGCGCACGCAGGCGGUUUGUUAAGUCAGAUGUGAAAUCCCCGGGCUCAACCUGGGAACUGCAUCUGAUACUGGCAAGCUUGAGUCUCGUAGAGGGGGGUAGAAUUCCAGGUGUAGCGGUGAAAUGCGUAGAGAUCUGGAGGAAUACCGGUGGCGAAGGCGGCCCCCUGGACGAAGACUGACGCUCAGGUGCGAAAGCGUGGGGAGCAAACAGG
rnacentral:rRNA from 1 species